GGCGUCUUGGCCGAUCGGUUAGGCAGAGGUCUGCAAAACCUUGUAGAGCGGUUCGACUCCGCUAGAUGCCUCCA
rnacentral:tRNA from 1 species